rnacentral:tRNA from 1 species
AACUUUUAAAGGAUAAUAGUAAUCCACUGGUUUUAGGGACCAAAUACUCUAGGUGCAACUCCUAGUAAAAGUUA